rnacentral:snoRNA from 1 species
GCUCCAGCUGGGUGAUGACUCUCUUUCCCCGGCAGAUCGACCGUGGCGAAUCCUUGCACGAACAAGCCAAGAUAGUCUGACAGCUGUCGC